AGAGUUUGAUCAUGGCUCAGGAUGAACGCUGGCGGCGUGCCUAAUACAUGCAAGUCGAACGGGGAGUAUUAAUUUCGAUUUUUACUCCUAGUGGCGAACGGGUGAGUAACGCGUUGGUGACCUGCCCCGAAGAGGGGGAUAACUCCGCGAAAGCGGAGCUAAUACCCCAUGUGGUCUUUCAGGUUAGAGACUGGAUGACUAAAGGAGCAAUCCACUUCGGGAGGGACCUGCGUCCCAUCAGCUAGUUGGUAGGGUAACGGCCUACCAAGGCGAUGACGGGUAGGGGGCCUGAGAGGGUGGCCCCCCACACUGGCACUGAAACACGGGCCAGACAUCUACGGAUGGCAGCAGUAGGGAAUAUUGCACAAUGGGCGAAAGCCUGAUGCAGCAACGCCGCGUGCGCGAAGAAGGCCUUCGGGUUGUAAAGCGCUUUUCUGGAGGAAGAGGAAGGACGGUACUCCAGGAAUAAGGAUCGGCUAACUACGUGCCAGCAGCCGCGGUAACACGUAGGAUCCGAGCGUUAUCCGAAUUUACUGGGCGUAAAGCGCGUGUAGGCGGUCAGGUAAGUUGGACGUGAAAGCUCCUGGCUCAACUAGGAGAGGUCGUUCAAAACUGCCUGGCUAGAGGGCGACAGAGGGAGGUGGAAUUCCCGGUGUAGUGGUGAAAUGCGUAGAUAUCGGGAGGAACACCAGUGGCGAAGGCGGCCUCCUGGGUCGCACCUGACGCUCAGACGCGAAAGCUAGGGGAGCGAACGGGAUUAGAUACCCCGGUAGUCCUAGCUGUAAACGAUGUGGACUUGGCGUUGGUGGGGUUAAAUCCAUCAGUGCCGGAGCUAACGCGGUAAGUCCACCGCCUGGGGACUACGACCGCAAGGUUAAAACUCAAAUGAAUUGACGG
rnacentral:rRNA from 1 species